AAGACCCGAAACUAAGUGAUCUAACCAUGAACAGGCUGCAUUUAAAGCGGUAACGCUUAUUGAAGGGCCGAACUCGUGUAUGUAGAAAAAUACUGAGAUGAUUUGUGGUUAGGGGUGAAAGGCCAAUCAAACUUAGAGAUAGCUGGUUUUCUGCGAAAUCUAUUUAAGUAGAGCGUUUUAAAUUCUUUAUUUUAAGGUAGAGCACUCGAUAAAUAAAGGGGGCGUAAAGUCUUACUGCAUUUAAUGAAACUCCAAAUAUAAAAUCAUAAAGAUUUAAAACAGACAGACUAUGAGUGCUAAGAUUCAUAGUCAAAAAGGAAACAGCCCGAAUUACUUGUUAAGGCCCUCAAAAAUAAUUAAGUGAAAAAGAAAGUAAAAAAAUUUUAACAGCUUAUAUGUAGGCUUGGAAGCAGCCAUCUUUUCAAGAAAGCGUAACAACUCAUUGGUUUAGUUUUUUAGCGUCGAAAAUGUAUAGGGACUAAAAUUAUUUGCCGAAACAUUAAAUUUAAAUUAAUUUAUAUAUUAAUUUAAAUAGUAGCAGAACGUUUUGUAUAUUUAAGAAAAUUUGUAGUUAUAUAAAUUGAAAAAAUCAAAAAUGAAAAUAUUGAUAUGAGUAGCGAAAAACGCUUAAGUGAAUAAUAAACUGCGUCACCUUAAGUUCAAAGUUUAUAAGGAAAGGCUAAUCCUCCUUAUUGUUAAUCGGUCCCUAAGAUAACAACGAAAGUUCUAAUUAAUGGGUAAUAAUUUAUUAUUAUAUUAUAAAGUGACAAAAUAUGAAUUUAAUUUUUAUUGUAUCUAAUAAUUAACAGUUAUUUAUACUGCCGCAGGUAGUAUAAAUAAUCUAUGUUUGAUUUUGAUUAAAUCUUUUUUAAUAUUUUCAAGAAAUAGCUUAAAAUAAUACCGUACUGUAAACCGACACAGGUGAACAAAUUUAGUAAAUUAAGGUGCUUGAGUUAAUUGUGUUGAAGGAACUCGGCAAAAUGACUCCGUAACUUCGGGAUAAGGAGUAGCUUUUUAAGAUUUUAAUCUUAAAAAGCUGUCACAAAAUCGAGGACAGCGACUGUUUAAUAAAAACACAGGUCUCUGCAAAUUUGAAAAAAGAAGUAUAGAGACUGACGCCUGCCCGGUGCUGCAAGCUUAAUAGAAAAAGUUUUGGCUUUGACUUUAACCCCCAGUAAACGGCGGCUGUAACUCUGACGGUCCAAAGGUAGCGAAAUUCCUUGGCAUUUAAUUGGUGUCCUGCAUGAAUGGCGUAACGACUGUCCUACUGUCUCCAAUGCAAUCUCAGUGAAAUUGAAAUGUCUGUGAAGAUGCAGACUACUCGCGGCUAGACGGAAAGACCCUGUGCACCUUUACUAUAGUUAUAAAUUGUAAUAAAAUUUUUUAUGUGCAGUAUACGUGGUAAGUUUUUAUUAAACUGUAACGCAAGUUAUUUGUUCAAACACAAAUGAAAUACCACUCUUAAGAACUUUUGUUACUCAUAAUUUCAAAACAGUUUAUAAUGGGUAGUUUGACUGGGGCGGUCGCCUCCUAAAAAGUAACGGAGGCGUACGAAGGUAAGCUCAAAUUGAAUAAACCCAAUUUAAGAGCAUAAUAGCAUAUUGUUUGCUUGACUGAGAGAUUGACAAAUCGAACAGAGAUGAAAAUCGGUUAUAGUGAUCCGAUGAUCCUGAGUGGAAAAGAUCAUCGCUCAACGGAUAAAAGGUACGCCAGGGAUAACAGGCUAAUCAUUCUUUAGAGACCCUAUCGAUGGAGUGGUUUGGCACCUCGAUGUUGGAUUAUCGCAUCCUGGAGCUGUAAAUGGUUCCAAGGGUUUGGCUGUUCGCCAAGAAAGGCGGUACAUGAUCUGAGUUUAGAACGUUGUAAAACAGUUUGGUCCCUAUCUACCGUGAGUGUUAAAAAUUUAAAGGGGUAGACCUUAGUACGAGAGGACCGGGAAAAGUAAAUCUCUGGUGGAUCGAUUGUUAUUUUAAUAGCAUUGUCGAGUAGCUACAUUUAUAAUAGAUAAUUGUUGAAAGCAUCUAAACAAGAAACUAGCCUUGAAAAAAAUUUUUUGAAAGUCGUAAAAGAUUAUUACGUAAUAGACUUAAUGUAUAAGAGUUGUAAGAUUUUUAGCAAAUAAGUACUAA
rnacentral:rRNA from 11 species